rnacentral:misc_RNA from 1 species
GCAAACUUGGUCAUUUAGAGGAAGUAAAAGUCGUAACAAGGUUUCCGUAGGUGAACCUGCGGAAGGAUCAUUAAUGAGUUGUGAAAGGGUUUGAUGCUGGCAGCCAAUUUUUGGAUGCAUGUGCUCGCCUUAACAAUCAUCUUCCAAACACCCGUGCACAUUUUUGAGGGAGUUUUGAGUUAAUUGCCGCAUUUUUGGUGGUUUCCUCGUGCUCCCUUGAAUUUAUUAUACGCUAUCGACAAAUGUUGAACGUGCUUGUGCCGCAAGGCCUUAAUAUAAUACAACUUUUAACAACGGAUCUCUUGGCUCUCGCAUCGAUGAAGAACGCAGC